CACUGAAGAAGCACUAUGCAGGGACAGAGACAGCUCACAGUCCUGUCUUGAACCCACUCAGACACAGUGUGAAGAUGCCUUGAAAGGAAUGUGGAAGGUGAACAUUUUGAAAACCUCAGACCUCCACGGAGGACACAUUUUGAAGAGGGGCUGCCUUCCUCAGGAGAACACUUUGAAAGCUGGUGACCUCCUCAGGUGAAGUUCAAAAGUGGAUGCUUGCCUCACUUUUUAAAGAUUACACAACCAUCCAAAGUACUGCUCUAGGAAUGAAGUCUUCUGGGGGACAUGGAGUGACCCAUACUGGCCAAACUCAACAGAAAGCCAGAAGACACGAGUGACUUGGUGAUACUGAUGAUAGGAGUCAGCCCUCCAGUGUAAAGGAAAGAGAAGACUCUAGGGGUGAGAGGGUAGUAUUCCAUUCUGAUUUGCCAUCUGAUUCAAGAUGUAAACCAAAAGACAGCAUACACUGAAUGGCAUGAAGCAUAUUUACACAUCUUUCCAUUUUAAAAGUCUAAGCUGACAUAUCAGCUACUCUUGAGAUAAACAUGAUCACCAAA